rnacentral:rRNA from 1 species
GAUGAACGCUGGCGGCGUGCUUAACACAUGCAAGUCGAACGAAGCACUUUACUACGAUUUCUUCGGAAUGACGGUUUUGUGACUGAGUGGCGGACGGGUGAGUAACGCGUGGAUAACCUGCCUCAUACAGGGGGAUAACAGCCGGAAACGGCUGCUAAUACCGCAUAAGCGCACGGUACCGCAUGGUACAGUGUGAAAAACUCCGGUGGUAUGGGAUGGAUCCGCGUCUGAUUAGCCAGUUGGCGGGGUAACGGCCCACCAAAGCGACGAUCAGUAGCCGACCUGAGAGGGUGACCGGCCACAUUGGGACUGAGACACGGCCCAAACUCCUACGGGAGGCAGCAGUGGGGAAUAUUGCACAAUGGGGGAAACCCUGAUGCAGCGACGCCGCGUGAGCGAAGAAGUAUUUCGGUAUGUAAAGCUCUAUCAGCAGGGAAGAGAAAUGACGGUACCUGACUAAGAAGCCCCGGCUAACUACGUG